AUCUUUAUAGUUUAAUAUUAAAAUAUUACACUGAAAAUGUAAAGAAAAGUUUUUAAAGAUA
rnacentral:tRNA from 1 species